GCCCUGGCCUGGGGCAGUGACUGUGCCCCUCCAUGGACAUGCUCUGCUCCACUCUCCUGCUGCUGACCGUCCCUUCCUGGGUUCUGUCCCAGGUCACCCUGCAGGAGUCGGGUCCUGGGCUGGUGAGACCCACCCAGACCCUUACGCUGACCUGCUCCUUCUCGGAGUUCUCACUGAGCACUAGUGGUAUGGGUGUGGGCUGGGUCUGUCAGCCCCCCGGGAAGGCCCUGCAGUGUCUCGCAGACAUUUGGUGGGAUGAUGGUAAGUAUUACAGCCCAUCUCUGAAGAGCCGGCUCUCGAUCUCCAAGGACAAUUCCAGAAACCAGGUGGUCCUAACAAUGACCAGCAUGGACCCUGCAGACACAGCCACGUAUUUCUGGGCACGGAGACUGCAUGGGGGAAGGGAGAGUCACAGGGAAGUGAGCUGA